rnacentral:rRNA from 1 species
AGAGUGAACGCUGGCGGUAGGCCUAACACAUGCAAGUCGAACGGCAGCACAGUGGUAGCAAUACCAUGGGUGGCGAGUGGCGGACGGGUGAGGAAUACAUCGGAAUCUACCUUUUCGUGGGGGAUAACGUAGGGAAACUUACGCUAAUACCGCAUACGCCCUUCGGGGGAAAGCCGGGGAUCGCAAGACCUGGCGCGGAUAGAUGAGCCGAUGUCGGAUUAGCUAGUUGGUGAGGUAAUGGCUCACCAAGGCGACGAUCCGUAGCUGGUCUGAGAGGAUGAUCAGCCACACUGGAACUGAGACACGGUCCAGACUCCUACGGGAGGCAGCAGUGGGAAUAUUGGACAAUGGGCGCAAGCCUGAUCCAGCCAUACCGCGUGGUGAAGAAGGCCUUCGGUGUAAGCCCUUUGUAGGAAAGAAAGCAAUCGUUAAUACCGGUUGUUCUGACGUACCAAAGAAUAAGCACCGGCUAACGUUCGU